UACAGAGGGUGCAAGCGUUGUUCGGAAUCAUUGGGCGUAAAGGGCGCGUAGGCGGUCGGGCAAGUCAGAUGUGAAAUCCCUGGGCUCAACCCAGGAAUGGCAUUUGAAACUGCUCGGCUUGAGUUCGGUAGAGGAUAGUGGAAUUCCCGGUGUAGAGGUGAAAUUCGUAGAUAUCGGGAGGAACACCAGUGGCGAAGGCGGCUAUCUGGGCCGACACUGACGCUGAGGCGCGAAAGCGUGGGGAGCAAACAGG
rnacentral:rRNA from 1 species